AGAGUUUGAUCAUGGCUCAGGAUGAACGCUAGCGGGAGGCCUAACACAUGCAAGCCGAGCGGUAUAGAAUCUUCGGAUUUUAGAGAGCGGCGUACGGGUGCGGAACACGUGUGCAACCUACCUCUAUCUGGAGGAUAGCCUUUCGAAAGGAAGAUUAAUACUCCAUAAUAUAUUGAUUGGCAUCAAUUAAUAUUGAAAGCUCCGGCGGAUAGAGAUGGGCACGCGCAAGAUUAGUUAGUUGGUGAGGUAACGGCUCACCAAGACGAUGAUCUUUAGGGGGCCUGAGAGGGUGAUCCCCCACACUGGUACUGAGACACGGACCAGACUCCUACGGGAGGCAGCAGUGAGGAAUAUUGGACAAUGGGUGCAAGCCUGAUCCAGCCAUCCCGCGUGAAGGACGACUGCCCUAUGGGUUGUAAACUUCUUUUGUAUAGGGAUAAACCUCUCCUCGUGAGGAGAGCUGAAGGUACUAUACGAAUAAGCACCGGCUAACUCCGUG
rnacentral:rRNA from 1 species